rnacentral:rRNA from 1 species
GGGUUGUGAGGUUAAGCGACUAAGCGUACACGGUGGAUGCCCUGGCAGUCAGAGGCGAUGAAGGACGUGCUAAUCUGCGAUAAGCGUCGGUAAGGUGAUAUGAACCGUUAUAACCGGCGAUUUCCGAAUGGGGAAACCCAGUGUGUUUCGACACACUAUCAUUAACUGAAUCCAUAGGUUAAUGAGGCGAACCGGGGGAACUGAAACAUCUAAGUACCCCGAGGAAAAGAAAUCAACCGAGAUUCCCCCAGUAGCGGCGAGCGAACGGGGAGCAGCCCAGAGCCUGAAUCAGUGUGUGUGUUAGUGGAAGCGUCUGGAAAGGCGCGCGAUACAGGGUGACAGCCCCGUACACAAAAAUGCACAUGCUGUGAGCUCGAUGAGUAGGGCGGGACACGUGGUAUCCUGUCUGAAUAUGGGGGGACCAUCCUCCAAGGCUAAAUACUCCUGACUGACCGAUAGUGAACCAGUACCGUGAGGGAAAGGCGAAAAGAACCCCGGCGAGGGGAGUGAAAAAGAACCUGAAACCGUGUACGUACAAGCAGUGGGAGCACGCUUAGGCGUGUGACUGCGUACCUUUUGUAUAAUGGGUCAGCGACUUAUAUUCUGUAGCAAGGUUAACCGAAUAGGGGAGCCGAAGGGAAACCGAGUCUUAACUGGGCGUUAAGUUGCAGGGUAUAGACCCGAAACCCGGUGAUCUAGCCAUGGGCAGGUUGAAGGUUGGGUAACACUAACUGGAGGACCGAACCGACUAAUGUUGAAAAAUUAGCGGAUGACUUGUGGCUGGGGGUGAAAGGCCAAUCAAACCGGGAGAUAGCUGGUUCUCCCCGAAAGCUAUUUAGGUAGCGCCUCGUGAAUUCAUCUCCGGGGGUAGAGCACUGUUUCGGCAAGGGGGUCAUCCCGACUUACCAACCCGAUGCAAACUGCGAAUACCGGAGAAUGUUAUCACGGGAGACACACGGCGGGUGCUAACGUCCGUCGUGAAGAGGGAAACAACCCAGACCGCCAGCUAAGGUCCCAAAGUCAUGGUUAAGUGGGAAACGAUGUGGGAAGGCCCAGACAGCCAGGAUGUUGGCUUAGAAGCAGCCAUCAUUUAAAGAAAGCGUAAUAGCUCACUGGUCGAGUCGGCCUGCGCGGAAGAUGUAACGGGGCUAAACCAUGCACCGAAGCUGCGGCAGCGACGCUGAUGCGUUGUUGGGUAGGGGAGCGUUCUGUAAGCCUGCGAAGGUGUGCUGUGAGGCAUGCUGGAGGUAUCAGAAGUGCGAAUGCUGACAUAAGUAACGAUAAAGCGGGUGAAAAGCCCGCUCGCCGGAAGACCAAGGGUUCCUGUCCAACGUUAAUCGGGGCAGGGUGAGUCGACCCCUAAGGCGAGGCCGAAAGGCGUAGUCGAUGGGAAACAGGUUAAUAUUCCUGUACUUGGUGUUACUGCGAAGGGGGGACGGAGAAGGCUAUGUUGGCCGGGCGACGGUUGUCCCGGUUUAAGCGUGUAGGCUGGUUUUCCAGGCAAAUCCGGAAAAUCAAGGCUGAGGCGUGAUGACGAGGCACUACGGUGCUGAAGCAACAAAUGCCCUGCUUCCAGGAAAAGCCUCUAAGCAUCAGGUAACAUCAAAUCGUACCCCAAACCGACACAGGUGGUCAGGUAGAGAAUACCAAGGCGCUUGAGAGAACUCGGGUGAAGGAACUAGGCAAAAUGGUGCCGUAACUUCGGGAGAAGGCACGCUGAUAUGUAGGUGAAGUCCCUCGCGGAUGGAGCUGAAAUCAGUCGAAGAUACCAGCUGGCUGCAACUGUUUAUUAAAAACACAGCACUGUGCAAACACGAAAGUGGACGUAUACGGUGUGACGCCUGCCCGGUGCCGGAAGGUUAAUUGAUGGGGUUAGCGCAAGCGAAGCUCUUGAUCGAAGCCCCGGUAAACGGCGGCCGUAACUAUAACGGUCCUAAGGUAGCGAAAUUCCUUGUCGGGUAAGUUCCGACCUGCACGAAUGGCGUAAUGAUGGCCAGGCUGUCUCCACCCGAGACUCAGUGAAAUUGAACUCGCUGUGAAGAUGCAGUGUACCCGCGGCAAGACGGAAAGACCCCGUGAACCUUUACUAUAGCUUGACACUGAACAUUGAGCCUUGAUGUGUAGGAUAGGUGGGAGGCUUUGAAGUGUGGACGCCAGUCUGCAUGGAGCCGACCUUGAAAUACCACCCUUUAAUGUUUGAUGUUCUAACGUUGACCCGUAAUCCGGGUUGCGGACAGUGUCUGGUGGGUAGUUUGACUGGGGCGGUCUCCUCCUAAAGAGUAACGGAGGAGCACGAAGGUUGGCUAAUCCUGGUCGGACAUCAGGAGGUUAGUGCAAUGGCAUAAGCCAGCUUGACUGCGAGCGUGACGGCGCGAGCAGGUGCGAAAGCAGGUCAUAGUGAUCCGGUGGUUCUGAAUGGAAGGGCCAUCGCUCAACGGAUAAAAGGUACUCCGGGGAUAACAGGCUGAUACCGCCCAAGAGUUCAUAUCGACGGCGGUGUUUGGCACCUCGAUGUCGGCUCAUCACAUCCUGGGGCUGAAGUAGGUCCCAAGGGUAUGGCUGUUCGCCAUUUAAAGUGGUACGCGAGCUGGGUUUAGAACGUCGUGAGACAGUUCGGUCCCUAUCUGCCGUGGGCGCUGGAGAACUGAGGGGGGCUGCUCCUAGUACGAGAGGACCGGAGUGGACGCAUCACUGGUGUUCGGGUUGUCAUGCCAAUGGCACUGCCCGGUAGCUAAAUGCGGAAGAGAUAAGUGCUGAAAGCAUCUAAGCACGAAACUUGCCCCGAGAUGAGUUCUCCCUGACUCCUUGAGAGUCCUGAAGGAACGUUGAAGACGACGACGUUGAUAGGCCGGGUGUGUAAGCGCAGCGAUGCGUUGAGCUAACCGGUACUAAUGAACCGUGAGGCUUAACCUUACAACGCCGAAGGUGUUU